CAGUAGCCGCGGGAAUACGAGGGGGGCAAGCGUUGUUCGGAAUUAUUGGGCGUAAAGGGUGCGUAGGCGGCCCCGCAAGUCUCAUGUGAAAUCUUCAGGCUCAACUUGAAGUCUGCAUGGGAAACUGCGGGGCUGGAGUAUGGGAGAGGUGAGUGGAAUUCCUGGUGUAGCGGUGAAAUGCGUAGAUAUCAGGAGGAACACCUGUGGCGAAAGCGGCUCACUGGACCAUAACUGACGCUGAGGCACGAAAGCUAGGGGAGCAAACAGGAUUAGAUACCCCCGUAGUCCCUGUCUCUUAUAA
rnacentral:rRNA from 1 species